UUGAACGCUGGCGGAAUGCUUUACACAUGCAAGUCGAGCGGCAGCGCGGGGCAACCUGGCGGCGAGCGGCGAACGGGUGAGUAACAUAUCGGAACGUACCCUAUCGUGGGGGAUAACACGUCGAAAGACGUGCUAAUACCGCAUACGACCUGAGGGUGAAAGCGGGGGAUCGCAAGACCUCGCGCGACAGGAGCGGCCGAUAUCGGAUUAGCUAGUUGGUGAGGUAAAGGCUCACCAAGGCGACGAUCCGUAGCUGGUCUGAGAGGACGGCCAGCCACACUGGAACUGAGACACGGUCCAGACUCCUACGGGAGGCAGCAGUGGGGAAUUUUGGACAAUGGGGGCAACCCUGAUCCAGCCAUUCCGUGUGAGUGAAGAAGGCCUUCGGGUUGUAAAACUCUUUCAGCCGGAAAGAAAUCGCACUGGUUAAUACCUUGUGCGGAUGACGGUACCGGAAGAAGAAGCACCGGCUAACUACGU
rnacentral:rRNA from 1 species